CAGCCCUUGACAUCCCGGGAAUCCUGCAGAGAUGUGGGAGUGCCUUCGGGAGCCCGGAGACAGGUGCUGCAUGGCUGUCAUCAGCUCGUGUCGUGAGAUGUUGGGUUAAGUCCCGUAACGAGCGCAACCCUUGUCCUUAGUUGCCAGCGAGUCAUGUCGGGAACUCUAAGGAGACUGCCGGUGAUAAACCGGAGGAAGGUGGGGAUGACGUCAAGUCAUCAUGGCCCUUAUGGGCUGGGCUACACACGUGCUACAAUGGUCGGUACAGAGGGUCGCAAACCCGUGAGGGGGAGCCAAUCCCAGAAAACCGGUCGUAGUCCGGAUUGCAGUCUGCAACUCGACUGCAUGAAGUCGGAAUCGCUAGUAAUCGCGAAUCAGCAUGUCGCGGUGAAUACGUUCCC
rnacentral:rRNA from 1 species